rnacentral:rRNA from 1 species
UACAGAGGGGGCAAGCGUUAUUCGGAAUUAUUGGGCGUAAAGGGCGCGUAGGCGGCAUGGUAAGUGGAUGGUGAAAUCCCUCGGUUUAACCGAGGAACUGCCGUCCAAACUGCUUCGCUUGAGACCGGGAGAGGUGAGUGGAAUUCCUAGUGUAGCGGUGAAAUGCGUAGAUAUUGGGAGGAACAUUAGUGGCGAAGGCGGCUCAUUGGAUUGGUACUGACGUUGAAGCGCGAAAGCGUGGGGAGCAAACGGG